GGAGUCUGGGCCGUGUCUCAGUCCCAAUGUGGCCGUUCAUCCUCUCAGAUCGGCUACUGAUCGUCGCCUUGGUGGGCCGUUACCUCACCAACUAGCUAAUCAGACGCGGGUCCAUCUUAUACCACCGGAGUUUUUCACACUGUACCAUGCGGUACUGUGCGCUUAUGCGGUAUUAGCAGCCGUUUCCAACUGUUAUCCCCCUGUAUAAGGCAGGUUACCCACGCGUUACUCACCCGUCCGCCACUCAGUCACUAUCUCGUCACCCCGAAGGGAUCGUAAGAAAGUGCUUCGUUCGACUUGCAUGUGUUAAGCACGCCGCCAGCGUUCAUC
rnacentral:rRNA from 1 species